GCAUCCUUUAUAUUAUUAUGAAGGGUCUGCAAUAAUGAAAAUCCCUCAACCCCAAAUCAGGUGCAAGAAACAGGUCCAAGGCUUCAAGAAACCUACCACCCAUGGAGUUCCAGAAAACUGACAGCAUGGUCACAUUCCCCGAGCCUGAAUGGAAAAAAGAAAGGAAGAAGGAAGGAAGGAAGGAAGGAAGGAAGGAAGAAAGGAAGGAAGGAAGGAAAAAAGAAAUUGGCAAUUUCUCUUACCCUGUAGCCUGGAUAUUGCAAAGACAGUUUUCUCCCCCAAUUCUUCAAAAUCUCAAGGCCUCACAUCUCAGACAAGAGUCUCAGAAGUCUUACAGCUAAAGAAACUCGAACUGAAUUUCACUCCAAUAAGAACUGAUGCCCUUUAUCGACCUAGCUUUUGCCUCUUACCUACUUUUAUGAGUUCAGAAUUUCACCAUUUAAUUUGGGACUUGGAACAAAAUUCACACUGGCAUUGAGGGGGUUUUUCUGAGGGAUAAGCUUUCAAAAAGCAUAUUGUAAAUCACAGGAAAGUGUGAAUUGUGAUUGGUUGAAGUAAAAUAAAUACAAAAGAUAACAUCGUCCAGGAACCAAAAACCCGAGCCUGAACUACUCCCAGAUCCAGAUGAUGCUGUUUCCUCUUUUAGAAUGGACGAUGCCACAGGGAUGAUACGAAGGUAUUUGCUAUAGAGACGAGGUAAAUUCAAUGAAUGGAAACACUAACUUGUGCCAGCUUCUUUCCGGACCAUUUCAGGGAGAUACGAUAGUCUGUAAAAUCACAUGAAGGACCUACACUUGAAUGAAACAAGCUUUCCCUUCCUCUGUCAGUCCUCAGAGUGUUGGGCAGAAAGAACCACCAAUUCCCCAGACAUUCUGUUCCUGAGUGUGUUUGCAUUAAGAGGAGAAUGAAUGAAAAAACUUGCACCUCAGCUAAAACUACUUGUGUAUCCCAAAGCGGAUUAACGUUCCCAUGAAUUCCUGAACUAUGCCAGUGAGCCGAGCGUCUUUGGAAAUCAUUCACUAAACUGCUAUUUUUUAAAGUUAAGGUGCCUUUGCUGCAGAUUGAAUCGUGCCUGUGAGAUAUGUUCAAGAAAGGAAUCAUGAAUUAAAAGGUUUCACUUUGGGGAAUGCUUUUAUUCUGAAAAUGCCUGCUCUAUCUAGCAGGGUUUAUAGUGGUGAAUCUUUGACCUUAGGCAACAGUUUUCAAUAUCUAUUUUAGCCAAGAAUGACUAUUUUUGCCUCUCUGAAAGGGGCCAUAUCCAAUGUAUUUUAAAGUGAAUAGCUCACAUAUUUUCUACUAAAAAAAGAGUCAUGAAUGAGAAAGACAUCUCCUGUGAGAGGAGGCUGACUACUGGAGGAAUUGAAUGGCAAAGAUGGUGUCUUAUUCAUGCCUGAGAGGCUGCUGACAAAAGGGAUGCCUGGAGCAGCAAGGAAGCCUUUCAAGAGAAAUCCAGCAAGAGGACUUUGAUGUGCAACUUCUCUGGGCAGGAGCCUGAACCCAGGGAUGCUGUUGACUUUAAAGAUAAUGAGGCACUGUCCUAUCCACCUGAACUUACAAUCUCACAUAUGCAAAAGGUACCACAGCUGAAAACCUACUAGUAUAAGGACAGGUACAGCAAGAAGAACAGCAUCAGAAUGCAGGGCAGGUGUGGGACAUCUCCAUAUGUUUGGUAAGUGCAAAAUGGAGAUGUGAUAGGCUCAGGAUGCUACCCAAGCUCUGGGGGAGUGUGGGGUAUUAAAGUGAAUUCUGAGGGAAGAUCAUAUAUGAUAUGCAGUUGCAAUUGUUUGAGACCCUGAUGGUUGGGCAGGAUUUGGAAAAGCUGAAAGUGGUGGGGACUGCAAUCCACUUUUCUUUUAAUGGGGUGCCAAAGGAAAGAGGCAAGGAAGC
ensembl:lincRNA